rnacentral:rRNA from 1 species
UACGUAGGUGGCAAGCGUUGUCCGGAUUUAUUGGGCGUAAAGAGCUCGUAGGCGGCUUGUUGCGUCAGCUGUGAAAACCCGCAGCUCAACUGUGGGCUUGCAGCUGAUACGGGCAGGCUUGAGUUCGGUAGGGGAGACUGGAAUUCCUGGUGUAGCGGUGAAAUGCGCAGAUAUCAGGAGGAACACCGGUGGCGAAGGCGGCAUCCUGGACCGGUAUUGACGCUGAGGCGCGAAAGCUAGGGGAGCAAACGGG